UACGUAGGGUGCGAGCGUUGUCCGGAAUUAUUGGGCGUAAAGGGCUCGUAGGCGGUCUGUCGCGUCGAAAGUGAAAACCCAGGGCUUAACCCUGGGCCUGCUUCCGAUACGGGCAGACUAGAGGUAUGCAGGGGAGAACGGAAUUCCUGGUGUAGCGGUGAAAUGCGCAGAUAUCGUCAAGAACACCGAUAGCGAAGGCAGCUUACUGGGCUGUAACUGACGCUGAUGCACGAAAGUGUGGGGAUCAAACAGG
rnacentral:rRNA from 1 species